UGGGGAAUAUUGGGCAAUGGAGGCAACUCUGACCCAGCAACGCCGCGUGAAGGAAGAAGGUUUUCGGAUUGUAAACUUCUGUCGCAGGGGACGAAAAAAAUGACGGUACCCUGCAAGAAAGCCCCGGCUAACUACGUGCCAGCAGCCGCGGUAAUACGUAGGGGGCAAGCGUUGUUCGGAAUUACUGGGCGUAAAGGGUGCGUAGGCGGCCCGAUAAGUCAGAUGUGAAAUCCCCGAGCUCAACUUGGGUGUUGCAUUUGAAACUAUAGGGCUUGAGUGCAGGAGAGGAAAGCGGAAUUCCUAGUGUAGCGGUGAAAUGCGUAGAUAUUAGGAGGAACACCAGUGGCGAAGGCGGCUUUCUGGACUGUAACUGACGCUGAGGCACGAAAGCGUGGGGAGCAAACA
rnacentral:rRNA from 1 species